AGCCAUGCAUGUGUAAGUAUAAAUAGUUAACUUUGAAACUGCGAAUGGCUCAUUAUAUCAGUUAUAGUUUAUUUGAUGAAGAAUACUAAUUGGAUAACCGUAGUAAUUCUAGAGCUAAUACAUGUAUAAAGUCUUGUAGACUGCAUUUAUUAGAAUGAAAACCAUAGGUUUCGGCCUAUUCGUGAGUAAUAAUAACUAAUCAUAUCGUAUGCUUAUGUAACGAUGUGUCUUUCAAGUUUCUGCCCUAUCAGCUUUCGAUGGUAGUGUAUUGGACUACCAUGGCAGUAACGGGUAACGAAGAAUUUGGGUUCGAUUUCGGAGAGGGAGCCUGAGAGAUGGCUACCACAUCCAAGGAAGGCAGCAGGCGCGUAAAUUACCCAAUCCUGAGACAGGGAGGUAGUGACAAUAAAUCACAAUGCGGAACAAUGUUUUGCAAUUGGAUUGAGAACAACGUACAAACCUUAUCGAUAAACAAUUGGAGGGCAAGUCUGGUGCCAGCAGCCGCGGUAAUUCCAG
rnacentral:rRNA from 1 species